rnacentral:rRNA from 1 species
GACGAACGCUGGCGGCGUGCUUAACACAUGCAAGUCGAACGGAAAGGCCCUGCUUGCAGGGUACUCGAGUGGCGAACGGGUGAGUAACACGUGGGUGAUCUGCCCUGCACUUCGGGAUAAGCCUGGGAAACUGGGUCUAAUACCGGAUAGGAGCCAUUUUUAGUGUGAUGGUUGGAAAGUUUUUUCGGUGUAGGAUGAGCUCGCGGCCUAUCAGCUUGUUGGUGGGGUAAUGGCCUACCAAGGCGGCGACGGGUAGCCGGCCUGAGAGGGUGGACGGCCACAUUGGGACUGAGAUACGGCCCAGACUCUUACGGGAGGCAGCAGUGGGGAAUAUUGCACAAUGGGCGCAAGCCUGAUGCAGCGACGCCGCGUGGGGGAUGACGGCCCUCGGGUUGUAAACUCCUUUCGCUAGGGACGAAGCUUUUUGUGACGGUACCUAGAUAAGAAGCACCGGCUAACUACGUG